ACUACUUUUAGCCUUUUACUGUAUUUACUAAAUUUAAAAUAACUUUUAUGUUUAUUAAUAUUUUUUUGCAUUAAAGGAUAAGUAAAAAAAAUUAUGACGAAUACCAUAUCAGUGGAAACCUGUUUAGGAGGCGACGGAUUACGAGCCAAACUGUAGCUCCUGAAGUGGACCAAUCAGAGCAGGCGAUUGGACCAAUCAGAGCAGAUGAUUGGUCCACCUGAUCACACAGGUGCGGAAAUGUAAAUGAGAAAAUGGCGACAUCGGAAACGCCGCAAAAGGCAAACUGAAAAGCGAACUUUAAACACUUGGAAAAUAAGACAGAAUUAACUUACAUUUGCAAACGAAUGGGAGCAUUUUGAACUACUGGGACACUGGUUGACUGACAAGGUAAGACUUAAUUUAUUCGCCCAUUUUAAAGGAGUAAUUUAAUUUUUUAAAUUCAGUUUAAAUGAAAUAGAAGUGAGUCUGUUGUGUUGCUUUCUUUAAAAGAAGUGAUAUAUAUUUUUUGUACUUUUACUUAGGACGCCAAGAGGUAUUCAUACAAUGUUUCUGAACGUACCCUCUUGUGUAAAAUCAUCAUAGGAGACAACAGCAGAUUUAUUUUUAAUGAAAUGAAAAAUAAUAAUAAUAAUAAUAAUAAUAAUAAUAAUAAUAAUAAUAAUAAUAAUAAUAAUUAAAUAAAAAUCAUUUUGAGCAGUCAUGGAAAUCCUAAAUUCAAAUGCCUCUUAACAAGUAAGAUAAAAAGGUUUUGAUCACCAUUUAAUUGUGUUUAUGGCCAAGAAUCAAGUUUUAAAGGUUUCCAAUUCGACCAGUUUAGCCCACAUCAGAAAUCCCCUUUGGCUGAGAUUUGAUAUUGAAAAGUUAAUUUUAUAUCCUUUUCUUAUGUGGAAAUGCAAAGAAAGUAUUUUACUCUAAUCAUGACAUUUAUGGAAAGAUAUUUAGGCUGCUUUUUCACAUGCAGUAGAUUUAUAUUUACCAAUUUUCAUUUAGAAUUUAAUACUAUUGUUUAUUUUUAAUGCACUGCAGAACAAAAACCAUGAAGAAGAAACAGGAUGGGAGGGUGAUCAGGUAAGAGACCGUUUAUUCAUUUAUGGAUUGACAACAAUUAUGGAAGUGUGUUUUUUCUUGUGGGUAAAAAGUCAAGUUUUAGAUGUCUGUUAAUUUCCCAUUUAAUUCACUGUGUGAUAAAGCUGCUUUAGUUUGGGAUGUCAUGCUCCUCAAACUCCAGUAGAGGGCGCUAAAUGUUUAAAUAUGUUAGACUAGUCUGCUGUUGAAAAAUGAAUCCCAUCCACUCUCUCUCUCUCUCUUUCUCUCUACCCCUCUCAUGUUCACAUCCAGAUGAGUUGUAAGACCUGAUAGGCUCGUAUUUGUGUUUAUUGGUGAGGCACAGUCACAUCCCAUGUGUCACGAACAGCAUGUUCCAGUUGAGCAUGUAUAAAACUCCACCUGCUUCACAUUAUACUUCAUGGAGGUAGCCAUCAAUUAACUUAUUGCUGAAUAAAAGUUAUACUGCAUAUUUAAUACUCGAAAGAUUACAAGGGGCUUUAAAGGGAG
rnacentral:lncRNA from 1 species